rnacentral:lncRNA from 1 species
AAAUAUUAAUGACUUCCUUAUACUCCUUAAAUGACAGUCAUAAGGGCCCGGGCCUACCUCCAGCAACAGUGACCUCCGCCGACUUUUCCCGACCCCCGGGUCACAGGGUCGGACGCGCCUGAUCCCCCGAGGCUGCUCCUCAUCCCAGCCGAGAGAGUUCCACCUCGCCCGACCCCCGGGCGGGAGGGGUCGGACACUGCAGGUCUCCGCCUCGCCCGACCCCGGGCGCAAGGGGUCGGACAUGCCUGACCCCUCGUCGCAAGGCCCUGUCUCACCUGACCCUGGGUGCUAAGGGUCGGACAUAUCCAGGCCCACAGGACAGAGCUUCAACUUGCCAAGGACAUGCGCGGACCAGCAGAUGAGGGUGCAGAUCUUGUGGGCCCCCACUGAUCUCACCAUAAAUGCAACCGAUGGGACGCCCAUCUCCAGAAUACGGCUCUGACACACGGAGGG